rnacentral:rRNA from 1 species
UCUGGUCUUUAGAGGAAGUAAAAGUCGUAACAAGGUUACCUUCUGCAGUGCGCUCCGGAGRCCUUGCAGCCCWARGGGGAGGCAGCACGACUGUAAAUAAGCUCGCCGCGUGCAAGUUGGCCAAAMGGGUCAGCAACACAAUCGAAUUGCGGGGACCUCCUAAAGCCUGCAACACCAACCGUCCGGGGAAACUCGGGCGGGCCCUCAUGGGGUGGUAAGAGAGUGCAGGAUGAACAAUGGACAAUCCCAGCGAAGACCCUACCGGCGAGAGCCCACGGGUACCGUUCACAGACUAAUGAUUGUGGGCGAGGCAUCAUGCCCCGUCUAAGAUAUAGUCGGUCCCUGCCGAAAGGACAGGGCAUAGCGCGUCCGUAGGUGAACCUGCGGAAGGAUCUUAAAGAAUCGCCCCGUUUUUUGAAAUGGGUUCUAUUCCCAAACCGUGUUACAUACCUUUGUUGCUUUGGCAGGCCGCCUUCUAGGCGUCGGCUUCGGUGACUGCGCUUGCCAGAGGACCCAAACUCGUUUGUUUAGUGAUGUCUGAUACUAUAUAAUAGUUAAAACUUUCAACAACGGAUCUCUUGGUUCUGGCACGAUGAAGAACGCAGCGAAAUGCGAUAAGUAAUGUGAAUUGCAGAAUUCGUGAAUCAUCGAAUCUUUGAACGCACAUUGCGCCCCUUGGUAUUCCGAGGGCAUGCCUGUUCGAGCGUCAUUAUAACCACUCAAGCCUCGGCUUGGUCUGGGGUUCGCGGUUCCGCGGCCCUUAAAAUUAGUGGCGGUGCCGUCUGGUCUAAGCGUAGUAAUUCUCUCGCUAUAGGGUCCCGGCGGUUACCUGUCAAACCCCCUCAUUUUUUACGGUUGACCUCGGAUCAGGUAGGGAUACCCGCGAMCUUAAGCAUAUCAAUAAGCGGAGGA